GAAAUUGAAAACAUGAUAGUAAAAAUGAGAAAUUAAGCAGAAGCAAUGAGAAAUAAAAUUGAGGCAUCCUUUCGGAAAAUGAAACAAAGAAAAAGAGAUGAAUUAUAGGAAAGAAAUGAUAAGAAAUUUGAAGUACCAAUUUAGGAGGUCUAACAUCCAAACAGAAAUUCAGAGAAAAGAGAGACAGGGGGAGAAACUAUCAAAAAAUAAUUUCUUAGGAUCAAAUGCUUCCAUUUGAAAGGGUCUAGGAAGUACCCAGGAAAAUGUCACAAAGUUCAGAAUACCAAAAACAAACAAUAAAGCAGAAGUCAAAAUGGCACCAGAAACUACAGAAAAUGUCAAAAUGUUUUGAAAGGAGAAUUAUGGCCAAUGUAGAGCAUACAUACAAUCAAAUGAUAAUUCUGAUAACAAGGUAGAGUAAAGGCAGACUUAGAUGUGCAAAGCCAUAUAAAUUUUAUGACAAGAACCUUAUUAGAAACUCUGAUUGCUUGAGCAAGUUAUUUGAGUAUAUUCUCCAACAAAAUAAUGAAAUAAACCAAAAAGAAAAAAAUUGCAACAGAAAACAGGGAAAUCAAUAGAUUAACUGAUUGAGAAGCAAGACUCAAGCAAGAUCAAGGAGGCAUACAACACACUGAACCAUAUCAGAAAGAAGAUGAAACUGAUUGAACUGCUGUAUCUAAAUGAAUUGAGAAGAGAUUGAGACGCUGUGGGGGGUUGAAUUAAUGAUCAGUAUUGGAUUAGUGAUACAAACAAGCAAAUAAACAAGAUGCAUCUUUAGAGGAAGCAAAAUAUUUUUCAGGAAAGUUAAAAUAAUAAUCGUUUACUCCAUGGCUCAGCUUUGAGUAGUUUUUAAAACGUCAUAUUAAAUAUUGAUCUUACCAAAAUAUAAUAUUAGCAAAUAUUUUUGGAAGUUGGUAGAGGGUUGUCAAAUAAGUGGAUUGUGGUGGGGGAAAGGGUAAAAAAAGACAGAUACCCAUUUUCCAUAAUGGACUAUAAAAUGAUAUUAUCUAAAACUAAAAACUCAACAAAUAACCAUCCAAAAGUUCAACACAUUUAACAUGUUGCCUUCUGGGAAAGGGGCUCAAGGGAGCGAGAAGGAACACGGGGUUUCUGCAUUUCUGUAAUAAGCCUUUUAAAAUAUUUGCUCUUAAACUGUAUUGUAAAAAAAAUGGAAUAAAGCAACAACAUAAAUAAAAGCAAAACACAAUGAUAGCACAAGACAUUCUUGGCAGAGGAAAUGGAGGGCCUUGCAUGGGUACCACAGAAUGUUCUGCUUACAUAAGGCUUAGAGAAGAAAGGGCAAAGAGAUGCAAAGAGGAGAAGGCAAAAGGAGAUGAAUCUAGGAGUCCUUCUCUCACCUAUGUUGUGCAGAGCUCCAGGAAAAUGUUGCUUCCUAUCCUAAUAAUGAGAAAUAGCAGGAGAGUCUACAGAAUCCUGUGGUUUCAGGGCAACUGAGGAAGCUGAAUUCCAAAGAGUAACAAGUCUCUCCAAGGACAAUGGGACAGAGUAACUCUUUCACCAUUGGAAGAAUGUAAGAGGAAAAAGAGGCUGUGGUAAAGGACUGCUGAAGAAGAGGAAUGAAACCUGUCUGCUUUUAGGGGAGAGAGAGAAACUCUCCUUCUUGACCCAGGAAUGAGCCAAAGAUUCACUGUCUCUGGAAGAAGGGCAGAAGCAUCAAUCAUCUGUCCCUAGAGGAGCAGCAGGAAAACUUCAUUGACCCCACUAUCUUGCACCAAUAUAUAGCAGGCAUCUUGCUAUUGUGGGAGAGAAGCAGGAAGUUCUCUCCUGCCUAAGACCUUUUAUAGAUACAAGACAAAGUUUUCCUGUGAUGGGAAGAGAGAUAGGAAGGCCAGGAAAGCUCACAUCUGGGGCACACAAGCCCUGCCUAAAACUGAGGCUGGACCACUAGGACCAUGAGAACCUCUCUAUCCCUUCCUAAUAAAUUCAUCACCGAAUAAUCAACAAUAUCAGUUUACCAAUGGAGAAGAGGAAAGUAUGGAGAGAGGAUCCCUGUCUGCUUAGAUGUACAAAGAUGGCUGAAGCUGAAACUGCAGUGAGAAAAACCAGCUGGCAAUCCAAUCCUGAAGGAAUAUGAAGCCAUGAUGCACUGAGGAUAAUAAACAGCAAGGGAAUUCAAACCUUGCUCAAGGAGAUUGACUCCUUCCCAACACACACACACACACACACACACACACACACAC